UCGAAUGAAUUAGUUCAUAAAGCCGUGUUCUUCCUCGCAAAAACUUCGGUCGGAGUGAUUUACGUUCCUCUUCUAUCGACGAGUGCCAAGAGAACGGUAGAAUUUUGACUUUGAGGCAGAUAUCCGAGGUCCGAGCCGCAAAAAUAAAUGAGAAAGGAGAGCACAGCCUGUUGCGUCUCCUGUACGAACGAACGAACGAACGAACGAACGAGCGAGCGAACAAACGUAGGUAAAUGAACGUAGAAAGGAUGAGACUGGUUGCUAGUUUACGAAGGGAACAAGUGGAUACCGAGGGCGAAAGCCUAGCCAGUCAGCGCGGUAUCGAUGUUCCUCGUUCAUUCUCGUGAACGCGUCUACGCGCCUGCUCGUUCGGAGAACCGAAUAAAGGAGGAGACGAUGAUGGAGCUCGACAGUGGCAAAAAUAACAAAGUGGGGAAAAAAAAAUAGGAGAAAACGUUUUCGACGAUUUUCUUCGACAUUGUUCCCUACUUUUAUUUCUGCUUUUUCUUAUUCUUCUGAUUCUUUUGCUCGAAAGUACUACGAUAUUACUAUACGUAUAAGCUCCUCCAUGUAAGAUCCUCUUCUGGA